GGCGCAGUUCGCUAGGCUUUGCCGUUGUUUUUAUUGGAUUUCCGGCCCGUUCGUAAUGCGUGGGUCGGGGGUUCAAGUCCCUCCUGCGGCACCA
rnacentral:tRNA from 1 species